rnacentral:rRNA from 1 species
GACGAACGCUGGCGGCGUGCCUAAUACAUGCAAGUCGAACGCAGUGGGGACGGUGGAGUAACACGUGGGUAACCUCCCAUCAGAGGGGAUAACACUUGGAAACAGGUGCUAAACCGAUACUGAUGGAUGGACCAGCGGUGCAUUAGCUAGUUGGUGAGGUAACGGCUCACCAAGGCCACGAUGCAUAGCCGCGCUGAGAGGGUGAUCGGCCACACUGGGACUGAGACACGGCCCAGACUCCUACGGGAGGCAGCAGUAGGGAAUCUUCGGCAAUGGACGCAAGUCUGACCGAGCAACGCCGCGUGAGUGAAGAAGGUUUUCGGAUCGUAAAACUCUGUUAGUCGGGAAGCGGUACCUAAUCAGAAAGCCACGGCUAACUACGUGCCAGCAGCCGCGGUAAUUC